AGAGAGCUGAAGGGAGCAUACAAUGGGUGGUGGUGAUGGCAAGGUCUUCACUUUGGCUGAAGUAUCUGAUCACAACAACAUGAAAGAUUGUUGGCUCAUCAUCAAUGGCAAGGUUUCCACUUUCUUUUAAUCCCCAUUUCAAGUCCUGCCUUUUUGUGAUCGUUGUUCUGUUUUCUUUGGUUUUGAUUUGAGAGACAUGUUCUCUGCAUGUGAUUGAUCUGAUGGGUGUCUGAAAAAUUGUGCACUGUGGUUCAAUCCUUGGAUCGAUUUGAGAGUGAGGUUCAUGUGAGUUUGAUUUUUUUGCAUGAUACUCAGAAGAUUUAUAUUUGAUUCUGUUGGGGUGGUUUCUGGUUAUAUCUUCUGAUUAAUGUAGGAUCAAAGUUGAUUCAUUUUGAGUGAUUGGCCUACUGCGGAACUGUCAAAUUGGCAUUUUCUGUUUUAUGGUGGCUUUGUAUUACGAAUUUAGGCGCCCGUGUUGUUUUGGUUAACAAUAGUAUUUGUAUUAUUACAACAAUGUUAUUGUGUAUGAUCGGGUCUACUUUCAUCUUUUUGUUAAACCUUUGCGCAUAUAUCGUGAGUUUAGCCCACAUACUAAGAGGAUAAUGUUUUCAAUUCAUCUUACUCUUGUGCAUGUUUGAGCUCUGUGGCAUUGGUGAAUGGAUAAAAUUCUUUUAUCCAGCAGUUUCUAGUUCUGGUUGCUUCUGUUUGAUUGAUGAGAUCUUUAAUUAACUUAACUAUUGUCAACAUAUGGAUCUUUUUCUGGCCAUUCCUCUGUAAUUUGAAGUAGACUUUAUUUGUCUUUUGUGGGUGCACAACUUUCUGUCUAUUGCUUUUUGUUCUGUUUGUGCUUUUUUUCAGUUCCUACUUCCUAGCUAUUCAUUUUUACAUUUUCAAAUUGCAUCUAAAUAAUUGGGAAAAGCAUUCUCAACAUAAACAUGUGAGUUUACAUGACUCGAUUCAAAUUACAAGCUAAUGUAGUGAGUUUCAUUACUUUUAGGGAUUUUUCUUAAGGAAAUAUGAUUCUUGUUUGUUGGGUGAAUGCAUGUUAUAAAUGCUCUACAUCUUUUGGAUCUAGGCUAGAUUUUAAUACAAGAUUUUAAGUUUUUAGCAAACUAUAAAACUUGAAAAAUGAGAGAUUUAAAGGCGGGUUCAAUGAACAGUGUGCAUGUGCUCUCAUAAGUAAGAAUGACCUUGAGUUUUCGAGGCCAAGAGAGCUUGGUUCUUUAUAUCGCAAAGGUUUAAAAUCUGAGGAAGGUUAGAGGAGGUUAGAAGUUUAAGAAAUUUUUAAGCUGAUGAUAUUAUUAAAAAAAAAAAUGACAAAGGAAGCUCGUCCAGAUCACUGCGAGUAAGCAAACUUGGUGUUAAGUUGACUAUAUGACUUGAAGAUAAAGUUAAUUGAAAACAUUCAUAAGAAUGACCCAAUUAAUUCAUAGUUCACAAAAAAAGGUUCCUUAGUGAUACCUGUCAGAUCUAUUGGGUCAUAUGUGAUUUCCUGAUUGUCUACUCGGAUAAGGAUAUCCUCUGUUUCACCCCAAAAGUUGAUUGAAUUAUCAAAAUUUGUAUCACAAAAUGCAAUGAAGUGAAAUCAGAUCCAGACUGAAACUGAAUACUCACUUGUUUAAUUUUUAAGGUACUUUAAAUGUUAACUUAAUUAUUUACAUCUUUGAAGUUGAGCCACAUAGGUAAAAUUAUGGCUCAUGAUAUGCAUAUUUGACCAAACUUCUCUGGAGAAUAUUUGCACAUACUCAUGGAAUGAAAAUCUGAUUUUAAUUGGAUAAUAAUUCUAGAUCCUAUUUUCAGAGGAGUCUACAUUGUAGCUUUAAGCUCACAUUCUCAAAUUAUUGGAUAACUUUUUAACAAUGGCUUUGAUGUUGUUGUGCAGUGCUGUUUGUAGUUUGAAUGGGGGACCUUAGCAUGCAUUGCCAGUCAAUGCAGGCUUUUUAGCUUCUUUGUCUCCUUUCUUCUUCUAUUUUUUCAUUUUUUCUGAACUGACAGUUUGCUGGUUCAAUUAGGAGUUUGAUGUUGUCUCCACAUUACGAUGCAGGUUCAUGAACUCAAAAUUUUUUUCUAUUUAUUUUAUUUACUAUCUGUUUUAGGAAAUAUUUGAUUUCUAGAGAUAUUGGAUAUUACUUAUUUAAGUUUGAUCCCUUCCAAAAUUUGGUUUUCUUAUUUUAGUGGCUUGUUUGGAGUACAUUUUGAUUUCCUUUAUGUUUACGACCAAGUCAUCAGAAUAGGCCUUGUGUUUUGUCUUGAAAUAUAGACCACUUGAAUCAAUUUGAUACUGAUUGCAUUGUUUUCUCUUCCAUCUCUCUCUAAAUUCUUUCUCCUACGUUAUCUUCUUUUCUUCUUGCUGUAAUCACUGUUCCUUGUCCCCUGAGUCCUACAUCACAUUAUCUUCUAGAGUUUCCUGAUGGUCCAAGGUUCAUGACUGUUUAGCCACUGUUUGGCAUACAUCGUCCUUUUUGAUGUGUUGACUAAAUGUCAUCUGUUCUUGUUCCAUUAACAAGUAAUAGCAAGUAUUUACUUCUGCCAAAUAUGAGUGUUGCUUCAACAUAUUUGUGAGAUUUUUUGGGAUUGAGGUGCUUUACCUUUAAUUCGCAUGUGUUGUGAAAUGGAGUCUACUUCAUUUAAAUGAAUGUCAUAGUACAAACUUGGGAUCCACAUUUUGUUAACUAAAAACUUUAUCUACUAUGAUUUCAAAAUUAAGCUGAAGCAAAUCGGUUCCAAAGGAGCCCUUAAUCAUCUUGAUAUGAAACUAUUGUUGGAUUUACUAUUUGAGGAAAUUAUCGAAUGCAAAAAGCACAAGAGCGCAGGACUUUCAUUGUCCUUGCUUUCUUUCAAAAUUGUUUCAUUCAUGUUUCUAAUUGCUAUCAGCAUGAAUGUUCAUAUUGAUAUACCAAGUAAUAUGUGUAACGUCAAAUAUAGAUUGUUGUGCCCCAAUGAUUUUGUUGCUAUUUGUUCUAAAAAGCAGGGCGUUUUCCAGAGUUAUGGUGCUUCUUGGAAAGCUAAAAUAAAGGAUUUGAUGCCAAUAGUAGAAAAUUUUCAUAUAUUCAAUGUACUUAUUUUACAUUUCAAGAUUUCUCACUGGAAAUGUCUGAUGUUUGAUGUUUCAUGAUUUCUUGCAAUGCUAAAAUAACCCUCUUUGCAAAGACUAAUAUUGUUUGGCCUUUGUUCUUUUGUUGUAUUGCAUUUUCUAGUCCUUGGCUUCCAGUUUAGAUUUGUGUGGUAAUAUUUCUGGUGCAAGUACGUAACAUGUAUGAAUGCACCAUACUCUUUCCUCAUAUUUUUAUCGUGAUAAACUGAGAGUUCUAAAGUUUCAGGUCUUGCUGUUUAUGUGGUUUCAAAACUUGGAUGGUGUUUCUAGCAUAAUGGUUGUGCAUCUAAUUCUUUUAGGUUCAUCUAUUAAAGGAUCUAAUAUUUUGAACAGGUGUAUGACGUGACAAAAUUCUUGGAAGAUCAUCCUGGAGGUGAUGAAGUUUUGCUGUCUGCAACAGGUAUAUCCUUUGCUAAAGCCUGCUUCAAGCAACUCGACAUCUAGUUAUAUUUUCAUUGUAUGAAUAUCAUACCUACAAUUUCGAUCAUUUGAGGUUCUCUGAAUGUUUUUCAGGGAAGGAUGCCACGGAUGACUUUGAAGAUGUGGGUCAUAGUCCGAGUGCCAGAGAAAUGAUGGACCAGUACUACGUCGGAGAGAUUGAUGUAUCGACCAUCCCAAAGAAAAAGGAGUAUACACCUCCAAAGCAGCCUCACUACAACCAGGACAAGACAUCAGAGUUCAUCAUCAGGCUUCUCCAAUUCCUUGUGCCGCUAGCAAUCCUGGGGUUGGCCGUCGGCAUCCGGAUUUAUACAAAAUCAUCUUAAUGUUCUAGACUAUGUUCUCAUAACAGACAAUUUGUGUCAUCUUAAUGUUCUAGAUUAUGUUUUCAUAACAGACAAUUUGUGUUUUGUUAAUGAAACUUUCUUAGUUCUGAUAGCUGGUGCCACUUCCUUAUUUCCUUGCCCAAAACACCUUGCAUUUUGUUCUUCAUUUUUAUUUUGUCUACUUUUUAUUCAAAUCUUAAAAUUUUGAAAUAAAAAAGUUAAGAUCCUUAAUAAACUCCCAAGUCACAAAGGUAUUAUUUAUAGUUCUUAAAAUAAAAAAAUUGAACUUGUUAAUGUCAAACAUAGGGAUGACAAUGGGUACCGCCUGCAGCGGGUUUGCCAUUACCAAACCCAAACCGCACAAAAUUUAAAUUACCAAACCCACCUGCAACCCGCAGCGAGUUUUAACAAUUACCAAACCCGCAAUGGUACCCGGCGGAUUUUUUGCGGGUUUCCGUAUUUAAAAUCACAAAUGUUUAAUAUAUAAAUUUAUAAUAAUAACCUCAAAUUCCAUAUAACAUACUCAAUUUUAUAUUUAAACAAUGUAAAUAAAAAAUUAAAAUUUCCACAUCAAUCCAACACAAAUUCUCAAAUUUAAGUAUAAAUUACACAAAUUCAUUUAAAAAAUACAAAUUAGUAUCUAAAAAUAAUAAUUACAUUUCAUAUUAUUAUUUAAAACAAGCUCCAAGAGAAGAUAUUCAUUUCAUUCACCACUAUAAGCACCCAUCCAACACAAUGCCUAUAAUAAUAAUUAAGAUUAAUAUUUUCAAAUACUAAUUCGAAGGGAAAUGCAUUUAGUUUUCUUUAGGUUAUGACUUUAGAAUGGGAGAUGGGUCACAUACACACAUACACAACUUUGAGCCUUUGACUAUUUGGUAAUUUGAAUAAUGACAUUAUUUUCUUUAUACGUUUUUAGAUUAAAAUUAAAUUAAAAAUAUUUGGAAAAAAUAUUGCGGGUUUGGUGGAUAUCCAUGCGGGUUUGGUGGAUAUCCAUGCGGGUAUCCAUCAGAUAUAAAGUUAAUACCAAACCCACCCGCAUCCAUAUGCGGGUUUUAGUUUAUAAUACUAAACCCGCCCGCAACGGGUAAAAUUACCCACAGCGGGCGGGUUUUGGCGGGUGGGUUUGGGCGGGUUUGCGGAUACAAUUGCCAUCCCUAGUCAAACAUGCGUUUUUGUCAAUAAAAUUUCAGAUUGUUAUUUUCCUUUUAGUGUUGUAAAGUCCUUCGGUUUUGCUGAUUAAAAAAACUUGAAAAUUAUGUUAAGGCUCCAUCCUUUUUCUUGUCUCUCAAAUCUAAGCUCCGAAAAUAUUACAUAAUUGUUUUUCCCCCUCUGUUUAGUUGAGAUGAUAAUUGUGGCAUUUUAUUGUUGUAAAAUUAUACAUGCAUAUUAUUAAUUGAUUAUUUUAAAAUCUGCAAUAUUAAAAUUAAAAACGGAAAACAAAGAUGAAAUAAUCGCUCACUGGUAUUUGCCUGUGCCUGAUUGCCGAUGGGGAUUUAUAUGACGAAACUUCAAAUAAGAAGGAUAUUAGUGUAAAUUCAAAAGUUAAAAAGAAGCAUCGAAUGUAAAUUAUCUUCUUCAUCUCUCUGUUCUAUAUAAAUAACAGCGCUGCUACACACCUCGAGUCAAACCCCGAGUCGCGCCCUGAAUGGUGAAAAAUGACGUCGUUUUACUUUAUUCCUUUUCCUUUUAAUUUCAGCCGAUAAAGGUGCGCAGCGCGUGGGUGAGCAUAUACUUCAAUUAAUUUCAAACCAAAAUGACAUCGCCAGCAUAUGCUUUAUCACAGUGAGAUAACAAUUUAACACAGUAGGUAAUUUAACCAACAACGUAAAAUAACAACUAAAAAUCAUGAAUGAAGAACUGGAAAAAUAGAAGAAAAAGAAAACCGAAAUAGAAAAUAAACUCGAGGCCUGCAGGACAGUUUCCUUAAAACAGAUUUACCACCAACUGUAGUGCUUUAGGUUUGCUGGUAACUAUUUCCCAGGAUACAAUGGGUACGAAUUAUUUGUCAAGCAUUGACAAAUAAUUCCGACGAACCACAACAGCGUUCAAAGCUCGAUAAAAAACAGAACGUCAGAAGGAGAAAGAAAAUUUGAAAUGCUCUCUGUGUGCUGGUUGUUCUUGCGUGUGAAAACAGAAGAAGAAGCUGCCUUUUUAUACACGUGUGGGGAUGUAACAGCUGCAUAGUAUUGAAUUUCUGAAUUCAAUAUAUGCCAUUUAAUUGUUAUAACAACCAAUUCAAUUCAGUCAAUUAAUUUCAAAAUUGAACUAUAUAACAGCUCAAAAAUAAUUGUGAAGCUGUUACAAAUUCUUUGUAUUCAAAAACGUGAAACUAUUACAACAAAAAAAAUUUAAAAGGAAAUUAAAAACGUGCCAUGCAAGCUUGGAUGAUUUUGGGCUGACAUUCGCGUACGCAGGACGCGCGGGCGCACACGAGUUCAACUAAAUCGGUCUUGGAUUUGCACCCCCCUGCGCACGCGCGUGUGGAGAGGGCCUCUAUCCUUAUAAUUAUUGCUCAUGCAUGGUUAAGUGUUUAUAUAUAAACACUAAUCCCUUGGCUUCUUUUUUCCAUGUGGGAUAAGCCUCAUUUCCUUUUAAAUUUCCAACUUCAAGGGUGAACUUUGAGAGACAAUUUCUCAUUCACCCAAGCACCAUUUUGAGAAAAUAAAAAUACACUUUUGAAGUAUUAACGAAUUAGAAUCCGAACCUCACAAGAUUUUCCACUUUCGCUAAGUGGGACCCACUCAAAAUGUGCCCUCAAAAUAGCAUAUUGAUAUGCUAUUUUUUCAACAAUCCCCCACAUGAUUGAAAAUUGGCGGUAAAACAGAAAAACCACUAAAUUUUGACAUCAAAACCAUUUUUGACCUUAGUGAUCGAGUUUAUUGGAUCAAUACCUAGCACAUGAUAGGUAGGUCUUAUCAUUUGAACAUUCCAUUGUAAUAGUAUAUUUACUCUACUGGCUGAUCAGUAAACGCGAUGUCUUUGAACUAUUAUGCCGUUAGUGUAAACGAUCAUCUAGUACACAUAAGUAUUUCUCCUAACACUGUUGAGUUUUCAUAGUUAUGUUCGUUUUUGCCUUGAAUAUGUACCUGGUUUUGCAAGAGUUUCUAAGAGCUGAACCUCUAACAGCUCCCUUUGAAGCGGCCCCACUUCUCUCUCAUAUAGGUGAUAUCUUAAUUAAGAGUAACCCGCAUUACUCCGUUCAAAUUUCCGACACAUAAGAAUCAUCAAAAGCCUAGCUCAACCUUAUUCCCCAUGGGCAUUACUGUUUCAUCAUAGGAAUGGUCAAUGAGGUAAUCCUUUCAAGAGAAUGACCCCCACAGUGAUCCAACUUUAAUAUUUAACAAAUAGGUUGUCCUAUUGAACCUAGAUCUUGUGAUCUCCAGUCAACUAGGUUGGGUUUUCUUUCGUUAUUGACUAAUCGUUCUAAGGGUUUUAAUCCCAUUCCCCUUGAUGAUUUUUUACUAGCUCUCUAUUUAAUCCUUUGGUUAGCGGAUCCGCAGUAUUAUCCUUUGACCUCACAUAGUCAAUAGAAAUAACUCCAGUAAAAAUAAGUUGUCUAAUGGUAUUAUGUCUACGACGUAUGUGUCUAGACUUACCAUUAUAUAUAUUGCUUUGUACCCUACCGAUAGUUGAUUGACUAUCGCAAUGAAUACAAAUUGUAGGCACUGGCUUUGGCCACUUUGGUAUACCUUCUAAAAAAUUGCGUUACCAUUCUGCUUGUUCACUAUAUUUAUCUAAUGCAAUGAAUUCAGAUUCCAUUGUAGAUCUAGCAAUUACUAUUUGUUUAGAAGAUCUCCAUGAUACAGCUGCACCUGCUAGUAUAAACACAUAGCCUCUAGUGGAUUUUGAAUCUUUUACAUCAGAUAUCCAGUCAGCAUCACUAAAUCCUUCUAAUACUUCUAGAUACCUAGUAUAGUGCAGUCCAUAAUUACGAGUGUAUCGAAGAUACCCAAGUACUCUUACAAUAGCUUUCCAGUGAUCAGUUCCUGGAUUACUCGUAUAUCUACUAAGUUUACUUACUCUAUAUGGUAGAUCUGGUCUGGUACAAUUUGUUAAGUACAUCAGACUGCCUAUUAUUCUAGCAUAUUCUACUUGAGAAAUGCCAUAUCCUCUGUUUUUCGAUAAAUGGAUACUCGUAUCUAAUGGAAUCUUAGACACAGUAUUAUCAUCUUUAUUAAAUUUCUCAAGAAUUUUAUCCACAUAAUGAGUUUGACUUAGAAUAAGUCCAUUAGAAGCCCUUGAGAUUUUAAUUCCCAAAAUGACAUCUGCAAGACCCAUGUCUUUCACGUCAAACUUAGACUUCAACAUAUUCUUGGUAGAUUUAAUCAUGCCAUCAUCACUCCCAACAAUGAGCAUGUCAUCAACAUAUAAACAUAAAAUGACAUAGCCAUUUUCUGUUUCUUUGACAUAAACAUAUUUGUCACACUCGUUGAUCUUAAAGCCACUUGUGAUCGUCGUAUGAUCAAAUUUUUCAUGCCACUGUUUCGGUGCUUGUUUCAAGCCAUAUAAUGACUUUACCAAUUUACAAACUUUCUUUUCUUGUCCUGGAGCUAUAAAACCUUCAGGUUGCUCCAUGUAGAUUUCUUCAUUUAAAUCUCCAUUGAGAAAAGUCGUCUUUACAUCAAUUUAAUGUAUCUCGAGAUUGCGCAAAGUUGCAAUUGCUAUUAUCAUUUGAAUGAAAUUUAUUCUCGUAACAGGAGAAUAAGUAUCAAAGUAAUCAAGGCCUUCUCGUUGCCUGUAACCUGUAAUUACAAGCCUAGCCUUAUACUUAUCGAUUGAUCCAUCGGCUUUCAUUUUCCUUUUGAAAAUCCACUUAUACCCCAAAGGUUUACAUCCUGGAGGAAGAUCUACUAGCUCCCAGAUAUGAUUUUGUAAAAUGGAUUCAACUUCACUGUUAAUGACUUCUUUCCAUAAAGCGCCUUCAGGUGAAGUUACAAUUUCUUUGAAGCUUUGAGGUAGGGAUGACAAUUUUUCACGAUGGGAUGAGAUCCUGCGGGAUCCCAUCCUAUUUGGGACGGGAUUAGAACAUAUUUUUUUCUCAUAAAAAAUUUAGGGACAUGAGUGGGACAUUUUUUUAUCCCAAUUACAUAUGCGGGACGGGAGUGGGAUUGACAAAUUCCAUUCUAUCCCGUCUUAUUGCUGAUUAAGAAUGAAAAUUUUUCCAAUUGGAAUGGGAUCCCGCAGGAUCCCAUCUCUUUUGGGACAAGAUUCAGAUAUAUUUUUGUCCUAAUAAAAAUAUAGGGACGGGAUUGAGACCUUUUUUCAUCCCAUUUGCAUAUACAGGGUGGGACUGAGAUUGAUAAAUCCCAUCCCAUCCCGUCCCAUUACCAACCCUACUUUGAGGUUCACUUUCUAGUAAAUACGUCAGAAAAUCUGGAUCAAAGGGCUUUUCUAUUCUAGCUCUUUUGCUACGUCUGACCUCAAUUUCUUGUUGUUGUUCUUCUUCUUUUUCUGGUGCUUCAUCAUUUUCUUCAUUUUCAAUUGUUGUUUCAUGAAAUUGUCGUAGUUCUCUCAAUUCCACUCUAGAAUUGCAAGGAAACACAUGUUUGAAAAACGAUGCAUUUCUUGAUUCUAUUAUCGUAUUUUUGUAGACAUCUGGAACUUUAGACUUAUGCACCAGAAAUCGAUAAAGCAAUACUGUUUUGUGCAUAACUAAUGAAAAUGCAGUCAACAGUUUUUUAUCCUAUUUUUACUUUUUUAUUUGAAGGAACCACUACUUUAGCAAGACACCCCCACACUCGUAAGAAUUUAUAUGAAGGUGCUCUAUAUUUCCACAGCACAUACAUGGUUUUAUCUUCUUACUUUCGGGUAUCUUAUUUAAUAAAUAAUUAGCUGACAAAACAACUUCUCCCCAUAUGUUCUAGGGUAACCUAGAACUUAUCAACAUUGCAUUCAUCAUUUCCUUUAAUAUUCGAUUCUUUCGUUCUGCAAUCCCAUUAUAUUGAGGUGAAUAUGGAGCCGUGACUUGAUGUAUGAUUCCACUUUGUUUACAUAGUGACUCAAACGGAACAAUAUACUCACCACCACGGUCACUCCUUUAUUCUUUGAUUUUUCUAUUAAGUGGAUUCUCAACUUCAUUUUUGUAGAGAAUAAACUUUUCUAAAGCUUCAUCUUUAUUUUUCAAUAAAUAUAUAUAGCAAUAUUUUGUGCAAUCGUCAAUAAAGGUAAUAAAAUAUUUAUUACCACCUCUUGUUGAAUGGAUUUAAAAUCACAAAUAUCACUAUGUAUUAAAUCAAGUGGUUCGGUGUUUCUUUUAAUUGUUUGGAAAGAUGACCUAGUUAGUUUUGCUUCAACACAAGUUUCACACUUAUGUUUCAAAUCAAUUUGGAAAUUGGGAAUAUGCUUCAUGUUAAUUAAUUUACGCAAUGAAUGAAAAUUAACAUGUCCUAAUCUACCAUGCCAAAGAUUAGAAGACUUAAGCAAAUAAGCAGAAGAACUAGCUUCAUUAUUAAUUUUUGGUUUCAGAGUCGUUACAUUGAGCUUAAAUAGCCCAUCAUUAACAUAACCCUUUCCCACAUACAUCCCAUUCUUUGACAAAACUACCUUAUCUGACUCAAACACUAUUCGGAAACCAUGUUUGUUCAGCAGCGAUCCAGACACCAAGUUCUUCCAAAUUUCUGGCACAUAAAGCACAUCGUUCAGAGUCAGCUCUUUUCCAGAAGUCAUCUUUAGAAUCACAUUCCCUUGACCCUCAAUCUAUGAUGUAGCAGAAUUCCCUAUGAAUAGCUUCUCUCAAUUGCUAACUACUUCAAAUGAAGUGAACAACCCUCUGUCCGAGCAAACAUGUCUGGUUGCUCCCGUAUCAAUCCACCAUUCCCUCGGAUUAGAGCCAACCAGAUUCACUUCUGAAACAAUUGCAGAGAGGUUUACGUCUGAAACAUGUUGAAUGAUGUUUUCCACCACAUUUGUCUCUCGCUUCUUUUUAGGAAACCUGCAAUCCGAAGCCUUGUGACCCAUCUUAUCACAAUUAAAAUAUUUUCUUUGAAACUUUGUUUGCUUCUUGGAAAUUCCUCCUUUCGUACCCAAUUUUUUAUUUUUCUUAUUUUUAGGUCCAUGUUCAACAACAUUUGCCUUUGCCAUAUAAAUAGUCCCUCUUCUUUUUGCAUUUCUGUUAUCUUUCUCAAUUCGGAGCUUAACAACCAGCCCCUCAAUAUUCAUUUCCUUGCGUUUAUGCUUCAAAUAGCUCUUGAAAUCUUUCCAAGCAGGAGGUAAUUUUUUAAUAAUUGUAGCCACUUGAAAAGUUUCACUUAGCAUCAUCCCUUCUGUAAGGAUUUCAGAUAAUAUUAUUUGAAGCUCUUGUACUUGAUUUAUUACAGUUUUAGAAUCCACCAUUUUAUAGUCUAGGAAGCAACCAACAACAAACUUUUUGGUACCCGCAUCCUCAGUUUUAUAUUUUCGAUCUAAGGAUUCCAUAACUUCUUCGCUGUUUUCUUUCCUACGUAUACAUUAUACAAGGAAUCACUAAGGCCAUUCAUUACAUAUUUUUUACAUAAAAAAUCAGAAUGAUGCCAUGCAUCAAUUGCACUUGUAACUUGAACAUCCGUUUCACCCUCUUUGGGUUUAGGAGCAUCCUCCAUUAAGAACCUCGCAGGGUUCAACGUGGUCAAGUAAAAGAACAUCUUUUGCUGCCAACGUUUGAAAUUUUGGCCAUUGAAUUUUUCUAGGCUUUCUGCAUGAUUCACAGGAAUUGCCACAGAGGCUGGUUCCUUCACAACAGAUGGUUGUUGAGUGUUAGAAAAUGUAUAUUUAUAAAGGAGAAAAUCGUCAUUUUACAUUUCAAAUUUUACUAAUACCCUUGCUUUUAUGUAUUUAAUUUUCUUGUCAUUUAAUUAUGUGUGUUGUAUUAUAAUUAAGUAUUUUAUGUGUUUUAGGGGUAUCAUAGUCAUUUCACAAUGAACGAGAGAUCAAACGGCAAAACGGACAUCACUUUUGAACUCAGGACGGUCAAAAACCUUAGGAGGAGCAUAAAAGGAAAAAUAGUACUGUUCACAUGUACGGUACUAUCUACGUUACUGUUCACGACACUGUUCACAUAAACGUAUCAAUGACAUGGCAUUGACCGAUGAUGUGGCAUUGACUGAUGAGGUGUCACGAUCCUAUUGGACUAAAAUUCUUAUGCACUGUUGAUCGAUGACGUGGCAGCAUAUCAGUGGACCAAAAAUCUCGCGUACGGUACAUGCAUUACACAGGAUUAUUUUCAACCAAACCGCGUUACUGUUCAACCCGGGUCAAACCGUGUUACUGUUCGAACCGCGUGGUCAAACCGCGUACUGUUGACUGAUGACGUGGCGCAAUCCUGAGCGUCCGAAAUGUUUUUGAUCCGAUGGCCAUGAUUUACUCAAUGUAUCUAUAAAAAGGGGGCUCUUCCCCCCUAAUUUGAUAGCUCUGAAUCCAUUUUUGGAUUCCAUUUUCUGUAAUUUCUUCUCUAUCUUAUAUUUUCUACGUAUUUUAAUAAAUUCUCUUUUUGCCCCUAGUUCAAUUAUGAGUAGCUAAUUUCUUUCAAGCUUGGGUUGAAGGUGAAGUCUCAACAUGUGUCAUGAGCUUUAUUUGGUAAAUUUAUUUUCUCUUCCACUCUAGUUUUUAUGGAUGUUUUGACUUCUCGUCGAUAAAUAAUAAUAAUCUUGUCUAGAUACCACCUUGGUUUCACCGGCUCUCUAGUACAAGGUUAUUAUUAUUUGGCCCGAUUAGCUCUUAGCACCAUAUUGAUUAGAGUGUGGUUCAUGAGGUGUGGAUUUCCCCCUCAUGAUUUAAUUGGUAUUAAUAAGGAAUAUUUGGCCCAUGGUGCAUGUUGAUACGGAUCCAGAUACCCAAGUGUUUCAUUUCAAUAGAUUUCUCUUCAAUUUAUUCUUGCCAUUUCAAUUCCAAUUUUAAGAUAAUCUAAGUCACUUUCACCACAAAUCCAACCACCCAUUUACAAAAUUAAUUCUACACACAAUUAAAAUCCACCUUCUCGUGGGAUCGACACUCGUCACCAUUAGUCUAUUCUACAAUAGAAUCGUGCGCUUGCGAGUUCAAUAAAAUUUGCACAACAAUGGUCCAUCAACAGAAGCUGAAACAGGGACAUGCGAAACUGCAUCAUUGGUUUCAGUUACCAUCUCAACGAUUUAAAUCUGUUUUAAGAUUGUAAGAAAAAUAAUCACAGUGAGAUAACAAUUUAACACAGUAGGUAAUUUAACCAACAACGUAAAACAACAACUAGAAUCAGGAAUGAAGAACUGGAAAAAUAGAAGGGAAAAGAAAACCGAAACAGAAAAUAAACCUGAGGCCUGCAGGGCAGUUUCCUUAAAACAGAUUUACCACCUAGUGUAGUGCUUUAGGUUUGCUGGUAACUGUUUUCCAGGAUACAACGGGUAUCAAUUAUCUGCCAAGCAUUAACAAAUAAUUCCGGCGAACCACAACAGCGUUCAAAACUCGAUCAAAAACAGAACGUCAGAAGGAGAAAGAAAUUUUGAAGUGCUCUCUGUGUGCUGGUUGUUCUUGCGUGUGAAAAUAGAAGAAGAAGCCGCCUUUUUUAUACACAUGUGAGGAUGUAACAGCUGCAUAGUAUUGAAUUUUCGAAUUUAAUAUAUGCCAUUUAAUUGUUAUAACAGCCAAUUCAAUUCAGUCAAUUGAUUUCAAAAUUGAACUAUAUAACAGCUCAAAAAUAAUUGUGAAGCUGUUACAAAUUCUUUGUAUUCAAAAACGUGAAACUAUUACAACAAAAAGGAAAUUAAAAACGUGCCAUGCAAGCUUGGAUGAUUUUGGGCUGACAUUCGCGUACGCAGGACGCGCAGGUGCACACGAGUUCAACUAAAUCGGUCUUGGAUUUGCACCCCCCCUGCGCACGCGCGUGUGGAGAGGGCCUCUAUCCUUAUAAUUCUUGCUCAUGCAUGGUUAAGUGUUUAUAUAUAAAUACUAAUCCCUUGACUUCUUUUUCCCAUGUGGGAUAAGUCUCAUUUUCUUUCAAAUUUUCAACUUCAAGGGUGAACUUUGAGAGACAAUUUCUCAUUCACCCAAGCACCAUUUUAAGAAAAUAAAAAUACACUUUUGAAGUAUUAACGUAGUAAAAUCCGAACCUUACAAGAUUUCUCACUUUCGGUAAGUGGGACCCACUCAAAAUGUGCCCUCAAAUAGCAUAUUGAUAUGCUAUUUUUUCAACAGUUGGAACGUUCAACUUUUGAGGAUCUCCAUUAAAGUACUCACAACCAUUCAAUCUGUGUAUUUUCUGUCCAAUAGCUUUAUGAAGCUUGUACAUUGAAAGUGCGUUUUUGUUUCGGCGGUUCGUCAAAACGAAAGGAAAAAUGCGUCGAAACGGUGCGCUUUUAAUUAUUCUCAAAACGGUACAUUUAAUUCGGAGUGUGAGUCGGAGUUAAAAUCGAGAGAAAUAGCUUUUUCGUAUAAAUAAUCUAAUCUUCUUUAACCCUAAAACUAACCUCACGCCGCAAAAUGGAUUUUACAUUCUCAGAUGGUAACUUCCCAUUUUCACUCACCCUUUAACUUCAAAAGUAGGAAAAAAAUAAAGAAUAUAUACGAAACGACUCAUCGUUGGCAGGUAAAGACCGAACUUCACUUGAAAAGUUAAUUCAGGCUCACAACAAAGCGUACUCUAUUUCUUUGGUUGCAUUGAAUUUGAUUGCUAAGUAUAAGCUAUGUCCUACUGCUGUGUUGUGUGUAUGUGACUGUUUUUUUUUGGUAAUUUUUAAAUAUAUAAAUUCAAUGUUCGUUGCCUGAUUUUUUUUUGGGUUAAAUAUUUUAUUUUAUUGCAUUAAGUUUGUGAUCGAUGAGUUAUUUUUUGGUUUAUAUUUUUCCAAUUUUUUUUUUUGUAUUGUUUGUUGUUACAGACUUACAGUGCUAGAUCGGAUGUACUCGUAUGACAAAUUGUACUGUUUCUGAACUCUUGGAUCUGUGCGUUUUUUUUCUCUGCUCUGUUGUGAUCGCAAAAUUCCACAUAAAGUGGAUUUGCUCAUCCUUUUAGACAUGUUUUUUUGCCUUCUUGUUGUCUUGUUUAAUUAAUUAAUUGGGCAAUAAAAUGUUCUCUGUUUUUGAGAUGGCAAAUCUCCAAUUUGUUUAAUGAUUCUACAGUUUCUACUGUAAACUAUUGACUUGUCGCUUGAUUUUGUAAAUCCCACCCCUCUUCCCAUUUGCAUCCUAUAAAUAUAGGAAGCAUCCUAUAAAUAUAUGAAGGAAAAAAAAGAAAAAACUUAAUAUAACCAAUAACAUAUUAUUUAGUACCUUGUUUUAGUCUAAUUUGUUUUAUUUAUUAUACAUUAUUAGCAUGAUGGUUGAUUUGAUGUGGAUGGUCUAAUUUUUAUUAUUUAAUUAAGCUUAUUGCUUUAUGUUUUAUUAUGCUAUGCUUUUUCUUUAUUAUUAGUAGUUUAUCUAUUGGCGAGUGUUGUGUAAUUACGAGACAUUUUGAUGGUUCAAAUGUCUUAUUAAAAAAUAUGGAGAUGCAUCAUAAGUUACUUGAUAAGUACUUUCAUGUUAGGUUUGAAAAUUUGAAUCUUUAACAAUUGGACACUAGAUUUGUCAAUUUGAACUUUCAUGCCGUGGAUGCUCUAAAAAUCAUGCUUUAUUACUUUGCUGAUAAGGUAUUGAAUGGAAGAAAAGAUCAUAUCACUGUCAAGUUCAUUUCCAACUGAUGAAUUAUGUUGAAAUAUAAAUCACUUUCAAAGUUGUCCAUGAGGUCGUUUAUCAUGAGAAAUAAUAUAUGAUGAUAUUGACAAUACAUUGAACAAGAAAGCUGAGAGAUUUAAUAAUGAUCACUUGGUAAAUACCGAUAAUAAUAUUGAGAGAUACAAUCUCUAUGGCUUUAGUCAUGGGGUUUAGGUGGGUUGGAAAAAAAUUUUAAGUUCAUAAGUUUUGUACUUAAGAAUAAUUCAUACUUUUUUUUUUCCUAUAACUUUCUUGUUGCAGGCUUGGCUUUUUAAAGUGACCGAGGGGCUGCCAUCACAGUGGACCGUGAAAACAAAAAAAGAUUCGCCGGAUCUUAAAGUGGAAGGCCAACUUCUAGUGGAAGCACUUUCAAGAGGAAGUAGAGGAGCGACAUAACACCAUGAGCUUAACACAGGAGCAGCAAAAUUCUGUCGAGGUUGAGCAUGCUGCAGUUGACCAUCACAAUCACUCACACAAUUCUGAUGACUUAGAAGAUUCAGAGGUUGCGUUCUCAUUAAUAAUCAUUUCUAUUGCCCAAAUAUAAUAUAAUAAAUGAUUUUAACAUUUUCUCAUUAUAUUUUUGUUUCAUGAUAAUAAGUGAUGACAACGUUUCAUUAUGAUUAUAUCAUUCAAUGGAUGAAUAAGAUUGAUUGUUUUAUUUCUGAAUUGAAGUCGAUUAUGGAGGCAGAGUACAAAGAACAAAAAGAGUUUAGACAAACUGUCAUGAAAUUUAUCGUUUAAUGAUGGAGUUUAAAUAAAUGUCAAGAGUACAAAUUCGGGAUCCACAUUUGUUAACUGAGAACUUUACCUACUAUGCAUUAAGCUGAGGCAAAUCGUUUACAAACUAGCCGUUAAUAUCUUGAUAUGAAACUAUUGUUGGAUUUACUAUUUUAGGAAAUUAUCGAAUGCAAAAACACAGCACAGCAGCGCAAGACUUUCAUUUUCCUUGCUUUCUUUCGUAAUAAUUUCAUUCAUGUUUCAAAUUGUUAAAAGCAAGAAUGUUCAUACUGAUAUACCAAGUAAUUUGUGUAACACAACAUAUAGAUUGUUGUGUGCUAAUGGUUUAGUUGCUAUCCGUUCCAAAAAGUGGGUUAUUUUCAAAGAAUUACAAUGCUUCUUGGAAAGCUAAAAUAAAGGGGAAAAAAAAAAUGAGAGAGAGAAAGCAAAAGAUAAUUUCUGAUGCCAAGUGUAGUGAAUUAUCAUAUAUCCAAUGUACUUAUUUUAUGUUUCUAGAUUUCUCACUGGAAGUGUCCGAUGUUGGAUGUUUCGCGAUUUCUCGCGAUGCUAAAAUAACCCUCUUUGUGAAGACUAAUAUCGUUUGGCAUUUGUUGUUAUGCAAUUUCUAGUUCUUGGCUUCCAGUUUAGAUUUGUAUGGUAAUAUUUCUGGUGCAAGUAUGUAACAUGCGUGAAUGCACCAUCCUCUCUCCUUGUAUUUUUAUCGUGAUAAACUGAGAGGUCUAGAGUUUCAGGUCUUGCUGUCUAUAAGCUUGGAUGGCGUUUCUAGCAUAGUGUUUAUAUAUCUAAUUCUUUUAAGUUCAUCUAUAAGCGGAUCUAAUAUUUUGAAUAGGUGUAUGAAGUGACAAAAUUCUUGGAAGAUCAUCCUGGAGGUGAUGAAGUUUUGCUGUCCGUAACAGGUAUAUCCUUUGCUAAAGCCUGCUUCAAGCAACUCGACCUCUAGUUAUAUUUUCAUUGUAUAAUUAGUAUGCCUGUAAGUGAGAUAAUUGGGGUUUUCUGAAUGUUUUCUUAGGGAAAGAUGCCACUGAUGACUUUGAAGAUGUGGGUCAUAGUCCGAGUGCCAGAGAAAUGAUGGACUAGUACUAAGUCGGAGAGAUUGAUGUAUCGACCAUCCCAAAGAAGAAGGUGUGUACACCUCCAAAGCAGCCUCACUACAACCAGGACAAGACAUCAGAGUUCAUCAUCAGGCUUCUCCAAUUCCUCGUGCCGCUAGCAAUCCUGGGCUUGGCCGUCGGCAUCCGGAUCUAUACAAGAUCAUCUUAGUGUUCUAGAUUAUGUUCUCAUAACAGACAAUUUGUGUCAUUUCAAUGUUCUAGAUCAUGUUAUCAUAACAGACAGUUUGUGUUUUGUUAAUGAGACUUUCUUUGUUCUGCAUUUUGUUUUUGACUUGAG
rnacentral:lncRNA from 1 species